rnacentral:rRNA from 1 species
CUUUGCUGACGAGUGGCGGACGGGUGAGUAAUGUCUGGGAAACUGCCUGAUGGAGGGGGAUAACUACUGGAAACGGUGGCUAAUACCGCAUACCGUCGCAAGACCAAAGAGGGGGACCUUCGGGCCUCUUGCCAUCAGAUGUGCCCAGAUGGGAUUAGCUUGUUGGUGAGGUAACGGCUCACCAAGGCGACGAUCCCUAGCUGGUCUGAGAGGAUGACCAGCCACACUGGAACUGAGACACGGUCCAGACUCCUACGGGAGGCAGCAGUGGGGAAUAUUGCACAAUGGGCGCAAGCCUGAUGCAGCCAUGCCGCGUGUAUGAAGAAGGCCUUCGGGUUGUAAAGUACUUUCAGCGGGGAGGAAGGUGUUGUGGUUAAUAACCGCAGCAAUUGACGUUACCCGCAGAAGAAGCACCGGCUAACUCCGUGCCAGCAGCCGCGGUAAUACGGAGGGUGCAAGCGUUAAUCGGAAUUACUGGGCGUAAAGCGCACGCAGGCGGUCUGUCAAGUCGGAUGUGAAAUCCCCGGGCUCAACCUGGGAACUGCAUUCGAAACUGGCAGGCUUGAGUCUUGUAGAGGGGGGUAGAAUUCCAGGUGUAGCGGUGAAAUGCGUAGAGAUCUGGAGGAAUACCGGUGGCGAAGGCGGCCCCCUGGACAAAGACUGACGCUCAGGUGCGAAAGCGUGGGGAGCAAACAGGAUUAGAUACCCUGGUAGUCCACGCCGUAAACGAUGUCUACUUGGAGGUUGUGCCCUUGAGGCGUGGCUUCCGGAGCUAACGCGUUAAGUAGACCGCCUGGGGAGUACGGCCGCAAGGUUAAAACUCAAAUGAAUUGACGGGGGCCCGCACAAGCGGUGGAGCAUGUGGUUUAAUUCGAUGCAACGCGAAGAACCUUACCUGGUCUUGACAUCCACGGAAGUUUUCAGAGAUGAGAAUGUGCCUUCGGGAACCGUGAGACAGGUGCUGCAUGGCUGUCGUCAGCUCGUGUUGUGAAAUGUUGGGUUAAGUCCCGCAACGAGCGCAACCCUUAUCCUUUGUUGCCAGCGGUCCGGCCGGGAACUCAAAGGAGACUGCCAGUGAUAAACUGGAGGAAGGUGGGGAUGACGUCAAGUCAUCAUGGCCCUUACGACCAGGGCUACACACGUGCUACAAUGGCGCAUACAAAGAGAAGCGACCUCGCGAGAGCAAGCGGACCUCAUAAAGUGCGUCGUAGUCCGGAUUGGAGUCUGCAACUCGACUCCAUGAAGUCGGAAUCGCUAGUAAUCGUGGAUCAGAAUGCCACGGUGAAUACGUUCCCGGGCCUUGUACACACCGCCCGUCACACCAUGGGAGUGGGUUGCAAAAGAAGUAGGUAGCUUAACCUUCGGGAGGGCGCUUACCACUUUGUGAUUCAUGACUGGGGUGAAGUCGUAACAAGGUAACCGUAGGGGAACCUGCGGUUGGAUCACCUCCUUACCUUAAAGAAGC